rnacentral:rRNA from 1 species
UACGUAGGGGGCUAGCGUUAUCCGGAAUGAUUGGGCGUAAAGCGUCCGCAGGUGGCUAUGUAAGUCUGCUGUUAAAGAGCAAGGCUCAACCUUGUAAAGGCAGUGGAAACUACAUGGCUAGAGUGCGUUCGGGGCAGAGGGAAUUCCUGGUGUAGCGGUGAAAUGCGUAGAGAUCAGGAAGAACACCGGUGGCGAAAACGCUCUGCGAGGCCGCAACUGACACUGAGGGACGAAAGCUAGGGGAGCGAAUGGG